UUUCUUAAUGGGUAACUUAGUUAAUCAGAAAUUGGAUCAUUUACGUAGUCUAAACAGGCUCUUGCCUUAGACAAUGUGUUACCUCAAAGAUCAGGGGAAGCACCAAGCACCCUAGAGAAGAAGGGCUUGGAGAGUCUGACAAUCUGAAGCUUCUGCCUGAGAGCUGAAGGAAUCAGAAAAUGAGCUUGAGAGGUUUCUAGAGGCAAAGCAGCUGGUCUGCCUGAGGCUGACAGUGGAGGGGAAAGAGAGGAAGAAGCAGUAAAGGGAGUCAUUUCCAUCCAAGGAUCAGAAGAAAGACUUGGUUUUAACUUGCUGGUUUUGAGCCUGGAGAAAUACAUCCAAACCACCAGUUACAUGUUGGAGGCAUCAGUCUGGGCCCAGUUUUAUUUUCACAAAAUCUACAUGUGGAGCUAGAUGAUCAACCCUAUGCCUCUGUUUUUCAUCAAAUACUAUCAUCUCUAGAGAGCAAUAAAGCAAUGUUGGAGAAGGCC